CACUCUGAUUGGUCGGUCUGUUGUAAAACACGGCCGUCAGACUAGAUAAAAAGGGUGAAGGCACGGGACUGUGUGUGUGUUUUCGGUCAUAAGGAAAACCUGACCCACAUCCCCUGAAACAAAGGGACGUGCACUUCUCGACUGUCUGUAUCUGGCCAGUGUGGAAAGCGGCCGACUGAAGGGUAACGUAUUUUUGGACGAAUACACAACUAAAGACGCCAGAAGAUUUCACAG